AGCGAACGCUGGCGGCGUGCUUAACACAUGCAAGUCGAACGGUAAGGCCCUUCGGGGUACACGAGUGGCGAACGGGUGAGUAACACGUGGGUGAUCUGCCCUGCACUUCGGGAUAAGCCUGGGAAACUGGGUCUAAUACCGGAUAGGACCACUGCCUGCAUGGGUGGUGGUGGAAAGCUUUUGCGGUGUGGGAUGGGCCCGCGGCCUAUCAGCUUGUUGGUGGGGUGAUGGCCUACCAAGGCGACGACGGGUAGCCGGCCUGAGAGGGUGACCGGCCACACUGGGACUGAGAUACGGCCCAGACUCCUACGGGAGGCAGCAGUGGGGAAUAUUGCACAAUGGGCGCAAGCCUGAUGCAGCGACGCCGCGUGAGGGAUGACGGCCUUCGGGUUGUAAACCUCUUUCAGCAUCGACGAAGCGAAAGUGACGGUAGGUGCAGAAGAAGGACCGGCCAACUACGUGCCAGCCGCCGCCGUAA
rnacentral:rRNA from 1 species